rnacentral:rRNA from 1 species
CAGCAGCCGCGGUAAUACGUAGGGUGCGAGCGUUAAUCGGAAUUACUGGGCGUAAAGCGUGCGCAGGCGGUUGUGUAAGUCAGAUGUGAAAUCCCCGGGCUCAACCUGGGAACUGCAUUUGAGACUGUAUGGCUAGAGUGUGUCAGAGGGGGGUAGAAUUCCACGUGUAGCAGUGAAAUGCGUAGAUAUGUGGAGGAAUACCGAUGGCGAAGGCAGCCCCCUGGGAUAACACUGACGCUCAUGCACGAAAGCGUGGGGAGCAAACAGGAUUAGAUACCCGAGUAGUCCCUGUCUCUUAUAC